rnacentral:rRNA from 1 species
CGCCCUUGAUCCGCGCCGCUGCAGAGUUUGAUCCUGGCUCAGAACGAACGCUGGCGGCGCGCUUAACACAUGCAAGUGGAGCGGUCGGGGGUUCGCCUCCGGCAGCGGCGGACGGGUGCGUAACGCGUGGGAACCUGCCCCUGGGUUCGGGACAACCGCGGGAAACUGCGGCUGAUACCGGAUGAUCCCUGCGGGGGAAAGGCCUUCGGGUCGCCCGGGGAUGGGCCCGCGUCCGAUUAGCUAGUUGGUGAGGUAAUGGCUCACCAAGGCGGCGAUCCGUAGCUGGUCUGAGAGGAUGAUCAGCCACACUGGGACUGAGACACGGCCCAGACUCCUACGGGAGGCAGCAGUGGGGAAUAUUGGACAAUGGGCGAAAGCUGUAUCCAGCCAUGCCGCGUGAGUGGGGAGGGCCCUAGGGUUGUAAAUCUCUUUUCGGCGGGGACGAUAGUUACGGUUACCCACAGAAGAAGCCCCUCCCUAACUUCGUGCCAGCAGCCGCGGGUAAUACGCA